UUAAACUCUAAUAAAUUUGUUUGGCCUUAAUUUUAUUUGCAGGUUAUAGUACAACAUACUAAAACUCUACUUCCUAGGCUGAACUUGAAGUCACCUAGAAGUUCUAUUUGGUUUCUGUUGUUAAAGAGCAUGCCAGUUGUGGAGAAAUAACAUAAUCAAAGGUUAUAGUACAACAUACUAAAACUCUACUUCCUAGGCUGAAUUUGAAGUCACGUAUAAGUUGUGCUUUGAUUUCUGUUGCCAAAGAGCAUGCCGGGAGAAAUAACAUAAUCAAAGCAUUUUGUCUUAUGGUUGAGGAAAGAAGGAAGAAAUGUCAACGCACGAACUCUCAGGUGUGCAUUCACUAUAUUUUCCAAUCAAUCUCCCUGAAGAGUUAGAGGUAUGUAUGUUUGUUAUUACAGACUUUAGUUUUCAUUAGAUUGAAUACGGUAAUUUUUUUUAUCUGACAUUCUCGAUGGGGACAUUUGCCUUACCCACUGUUAAUACA